rnacentral:rRNA from 1 species
CACGUAGGGGCCAAGCGUUGUCCGGAUUCAUUGGGCGUAAAGAGCUCGUAGGCGGUUCAGUCAGUCGGGUGUGAAAUCUCCGGGCUCAACUCGGAGGGGCCACCCGAUACUGCUGUGACUCGAGUCCGGUAGGGGAGUGGGGAAUUCCUGGUGUAGCGGUGAAAUGCGUAGAUAUCGGGAGGAACACCAGUGGCGAAGGCGACUACCUGGCCUGUUCUUGACGCUGAGGCGCGAAAGCUAGGGGAGCAAACGGGG